GUAGGUAAAGAAAGGCAGAUUUAUUAGAGAAAGUAGAAAAUGUGCAUAGCACAGAAGCAACGGGCAGGUCAGCAAGGGAGGAGCCGAAGCAAGGGGCAGGUCAGCAAGGGAGGAGCCGAAGCAAGGGGCAGGUCAGCAAGGGAGGAGCCGAAGCAAGGGGCAGGUCAGCAAGGGAGGAGCCGAAGCAAGGGGCAGGUCAGCAAGGGAGGAGCCACUGCAAAGAAAUGAGGGCUUGCUGGGGAUGUUAUAGGACGGCGCCUGUGCUGUGUGCUGGAGAGGGCCACAGGCAGUACUGAUAACGCCAAGGUUGCAGUCAGCUAACAUCCAUUCUCCUAUCAGCCAAGGGUCUGGCAAUAGCCGGGCACAGGAAGAUUGUGAGUUAUUUCUUCAGGAGGGCUGUGUGUCCUGGACAGUGAAGAAGGGCAGACUUAAAGCUUCUUUGCUUCUUCUUUUUGCCUUCCCUCUGUCCUGCCAGCCCGACUCCUUUUCCCUCAUUAGGAUUCCACACCCCCCACCCCCACAUGUCAGGGCACAGCCGGGCUGACCAGCUCCACCCGCUCUGCUGGGCCCUCACUGAGUCUCAGUCUUCUCAUGUGUGACACAGGCAAGGUGAACAUGGUGGACAUGUGUCAGGCGGGCGCCUGGGCCUAGAGGAGGAAGGAGCAGGGCCAUUGUGGGGGCGCAGGCUGGGCCUGGCUCCUGGGGCCUGGGCCCAGCUCCUGGGGCCUGGGCCCAGAGGAGGAAGGAGCAGGGCCGGUGUGGGGGCGCAGGCUGGGCCUGGCUCCUGGGGCCUGGACCUAGAGGAGGAAGGAGCAGGGCCGGUGUGGGGGCGCAGGCUGGGCCUGGCUCCUGGGGCCUGGGCCCAGAGGAGGAAGGAGCAGGGCCGGUGUGGGGGCGCAGGCUGGGCCUGGCUCCUGGGGCCUGGACCUAGAGGAGGAAGGAGCAGGGCCGGUGUGGAGGUGCAGGCUGGGCCUGGCUCCUGGGGCAAUAAUUGCUGUGGGCGGGGAGUGCCAGGGCUGGGCCAUGGCCCCCUAGGCUCUCUGUGCACAGCCCCCCAGUAGGCCCGUGGGACUUGCAGGCUCUCAGCAAAUCUCCCGUCAGAAGCUGGUGGCUGCAGGUUUGACACCCCGUCGUCCCAUGGAGUUAGCGAGCACCCAUUCUGCACCUGCUGUGUACGCGGCAGGAUCCGGGAGGCAGUGCCAGCCCUCAGGGAGGACGGAAGGGUGGAUGGAUGCGUGGUGGCUGCUCCCGGCUGCAGGGAGCAUACAGCACAGGCGGACUGGACACCAGCUGAAUAGCCUGUCCUGCGCUGUGCUGGGGUGCAAGGGAAUGAGCCACGUCAGCCCCGACCCAAGUGGAGCUGACCAGGGCUGCGUCCAUGAAAUGAUGGAGGAGCCAGGUGUGGUCAGAAUUUGCCAGGGAACAGUGACCCUCCAAGAGGGCCGCUCAGGGAAGCUUCAUAGAGGAAGCAGCGCUUGGGCGAGGACUUGGGGUUGGGGGAGGGCCAGGAAGGGGAGCUGCGUCCUUCCAAGACAAGGGGGCUGGAGGGCUCGGUGGGAGCAGAGGCGGGGCCGCUCCAUGAGCUACACAGCACCAAGUCUGCGCCUGGGUGGUCUCAGGUCCCAGAGCCUCCCUCUGGCAGGGCAGGCAAUGAGGCAGGUGGCCCAUCCGGGGAUCACUGCCUGAGCAACCAGCAGGAUUUGGUCUCCGGCCAGCAGCAGGGAGGAAGUUAACAUAAAUCCAUUCCAAUGCAAAUGUCAAACCAACCGUGCGCAGGAAAACUUAGCAGCUCUGAAUGUCAAGGAGGGAGUCCCGGCUCUAGCUGGUGGCGCGGCUUGGCUGAGCUGUUUCCUCCAGCUCCUGGGCUGUGGGAGGAGGCUGCUGGCGUGCGGCCACUGCCUGGCGCAGAGGGGCUGCCAGGACCUUUGAGAACUGAGGCACACCCGGGAGAUGAUCUGGGGACUCGUCGCUGGAGGGAAGGAGCCCCAGCAAACACAGCCCAGUCCAGGGACUCUUGUCUGCAUAGCCUCUGAGACACGCGGGAGCUGGUGCCCGGGGUCCUGAGUCCAGGCGGGGGCUCCACCCUGAGGCGUGCGUGGGUGACGGGCUCCCAAGACAUGACCACGCUGGGUGUGAAGACAAGGCCACGUGAGGCCGGAGGACAGUGCAG
rnacentral:lncRNA from 1 species